GAUGAACGCUAGCGGCAGGCUUAACACAUGCAAGUCGAGGGGCAGCGCGGGAUAGCAAUAUCCUGGCGGCGACCGGCGGAAGGGUGCGUAACGCGUGAGCGACAUGCCCGUUGCCCGGGGACAACCGGUGGAAACGCCGACUAAUCCCCGAUGGGAUAUUGUGCCGCAUGGCACGAUAUUGAAAGUUACGGCGGCGACGGAUUGGCUCGCGUCCGAUUAGCUUGUUGGCGGGGUAACGGCCCACCAAGGCUGCGAUCGGUAGGGGUUCUGAGAGGAAGGCCCCCCACAAUGGGACUGAGACACGGCCCAUACUCCUACGGGAGGCAGCAGUGAGGAAUAUUGGUCAAUGGGCGGAAGCCUGAACCAGCCAUGCCGCGUGCGGGAAGGAGGCCCUAUGGGCUGUGAACCGCUUUUGCCUGGGGGCAAUAAGGGCGUCGCGCACGUCCGAUGAGAGUACCAGGCGAAUAAACAUCGGCUAACUCCGU
rnacentral:rRNA from 1 species